rnacentral:rRNA from 1 species
CAAUAAGCGGAGGAAAAGAAACCAACAGGGAUUGCCCUAGUAACGGCGAGUGAAGCGGCAACAGCUCAAAUUUGAAAUCUGGCUCUUUUAGGGUCCGAGUUGUAAUUUGCAGAGGGCGCUUUGGCGUUGGCAGCGGUCCAAGUUCUUUGGAACAGGACGUCACAGAGGGUGAGAAUCCCGUACGUGGUCGCUAUCCUUCGCCGUGUAAAGCCCCUUCGACGAGUCGAGUUGUUUGGGAAUGCAGCUCUAAAUGGGAGGUAAAUUUCUUCUAAAGCUAAAUAUUGGCCAGAGACCGAUAGCGCACAAGUAGAGUGAUCGAAAGAUGAAAAGCACUUUGGAAAGAGAGUCAAAUAGCACGUGAAAUUGUUGAAAGGGAAGCGCUUGCAGCCAGACUUGCCUGUAGUUGCUUAUCCGGACUUUUGUCCGGUGCACUCUUCUAUAGGCAGGCCAGCAUCAGUUUAGGCGGUUAGAUAAAGGUCUCUGUCACGUACCUCUCUUCGGGGAGGCCUUAUAGGGGAGACGACAUGUAACCAGCUUAGACUGAGGUCCGCGCAUCUGCUAGGAUGCUGGCGUAAUGGCUGUAAGCGGCCCGUCUUGAAACACGGACCAAGGAGUCUAACAUCUAUGCGAGUGUUUGGGUGUCAAGCCCAGACGCGUAAUGAAAGUGAACGGAGGUAGGAACCCUUUGGGUGCACUAUCGACCGAUCCUGAUGUCUUCGGAAGGAUUUGAGUAAGAGCAUGGCUGUUGGGACCCGAAAGAUGGUGAACUAUGCUUGAAUAGGGUGAAGCCAGAGGAAACUCUGGUGGAGGCUCGCAGCGGUUCUGACGUGCAAAUCGAUCGUCAAAUUUGGGCAUAGGGGCGAAAGACUAAU